AUGGCGAUGGACCAAGAGCUGCCGCUUGAGCUUGGCGACUUCUCCAUCGCCAUGGACGCGUCGUCCCUCGCCGCCCUCUGGCCGGCGACGCCGCUGCUCCCGCCGGAUCUCCACUCUACUUACCCAGACCAAGAGAGCUCCUCGUCGCCGUGGCGUGCCAUGCAGAUCGUGGAGGAGGUGAGGCGGAGGCUGGCCGCGGCCACGGCGGAGCUGGAGGCGGCCAAGGAGGAGGUGCGCCGCAAGGAGCAGAGCAUCGCGGCCCUGCUGGAGCUCGUGCGCCUCACGGCCGAGGAGCUUGACCAGCUCCGGCAGCACCUUGAGCAGCUCCGGCAGCACCUGCAGCUGGCCCGCGAGCUGGCGGCAACGACGACGUCAAGCAGCAGCGACUCGGGCGCGAGCGUCCCAACCUUCUCCCCACCAGCCGCCAACCCCCCCACCUUGCUCGAGGCCGGCACCACCGUUACAGCCAUCGCCAUAGAUACCAGGAGCGCGCCAGUUGCUAUCGACGACGACAGGACCGAGGCGGUGCUCGAGCAGCUGGCGGCCAAGAGGCCAUUGCCGCAGCGGGGGCAGCUACUGCAGGCGGUGAUGGAGGCAGGGCCUCUCCUGGAGAACCUGCUGGUGGCAGGGCCGGUGCCGCAGUGGCGCAACCCGCCACCUGUGCAGCCGAUCCCCAGCCCCGUCAUAUCGGCGCCUUCAGGCUCUCGUGCCCCCAUGGGUUGGGGGCCAUGGUAG
rnacentral:rRNA from 1 species